rnacentral:rRNA from 1 species
GUUGAACGCUGGCGGCAGGCCUAACACAUGCAAGUCGAACGAGAGGAGGAGGGGUGAGUGAUGUCUGGGAAACUGCCUGAUGGAGCGGGAUAAGUAGGGGAAACGGUGGAAAAAGGUGCAAACGAGCGGAUGGGGCGACAUUGCAUUAGGUAGUAGGUGGGGUAACGGCUCACCUAGGCGACGAUCCCUAGCUGGUCUGAGAGGAUGACCGGCCAAACUGGAACUGAGACACGGUCCAGACUCCUACGGGAGGCAGCAGUGGGGAAUAUUGCACAAUGGGCGAAAGCCUGAUGCAGCAAUGCCGCGUGUGUGAAGAAGGCUUUCGGGUUGUAAAGCACUGUCGUCGGGGAGGCGUUACUCGCAGAGGAAGCACCGGCUAACUCCGUGCCAGCAGCCGCGGUAAUAC